GACGAACGCUGGCGGCGUGCUUAACACAUGCAAGUCGAACGGAAAGGCCCUGCUUUUGUGGGGUGCUCGAGUGGCGAACGGGUGAGUAACACGUGAGUAACCUGCCCUUGACUUUGGGAUAACUUCAGGAAACUGGGGCUAAUACCGGAUAGGAGCUCCUGCUGCAUGGUGGGGGUUGGAAAGUUUCGGCGGUUGGGGAUGGACUCGCGGCUUAUCAGCUUGUUGGUGGGGUAGUGGCUUACCAAGGCUUUGACGGGUAGCCGGCCUGAGAGGGUGACCGGCCACAUUGGGACUGAGGUACGGCCCCGCCUCCUACGGGCGGCAGCAGUGGGGAAUAUUGCACAAUGGGCGGAAGCCUGAUGCAGCAACGCCGCGUGCGGGAUGACGGCCUUCGGGUUGUAAACCGCUUUCGCCUGUGACGAAGCGUGAGUGACGGUAAUGGGUAAAGAAGCACCGGCUAACUACGUG
rnacentral:rRNA from 1 species